ensembl:miRNA Mir6997 microRNA 6997
CCAAGUAACAGGCUGGAGAGGUGCAGAACAGAGUCUCUGGAGUCUCUCAAACUUUACCCUCCUUUUUCCAG